AAUCAACGCUGGCGGCGUGCCUAACACAUGCAAGUCGAACGAGAAAGUGGAGCAAUCCAUGAGUACAGUGGCGCACGGGUGAGUAACACGUGACUAACCUACCCUUGAGUGGGGGAUAACUGAGGGAAACCUUAGCUAAUACCGCAUAAUACCUACGGGUCAAAGGAGCAAUUCGCUCCAGGAGGGGGUCGCGGCCGAUUAGUUAGUUGGCGGGGUAAUGGCCCACCAAGACAGUGAUCGGUAUCCGGCCUGAGAGGGCGCACGGACACACUGGAACUGAAACACGGUCCAGACUCCUACGGGAGGCAGCAGUGGGGAAUUUUGCGCAAUGGGGGAAACCCUGACGCAGCAACGCCGCGUGGAGGAUGAAGUACUUCGGUACGUAAACUCCUUUCGAUCGGGACGAUAAUGACGGUACCGGAAGAAGAAGCCCCGGCUAACUUCGUGCCAGCAGCCGCGGUAAUACGAGGGGGGCAAGCGUUGUUCGGAAUUAUUGGGCGUAAAGGGUGCGUAGGCGGUUUGGUAAGUCUUGUGUGAAAUCUCUGGGCUCAACUCAGAGACUGCACGAGAAACUGCCGGGCUUGAGUGUGGGAGAGGUGAGUGGAAUUCCUGGUGUAGCGGUGAAAUGCGUAGAUAUCAGGAGGAACACCUGUGGCGAAAGCGGCUCACUGGACCACAACUGACGCUGAUGCACGAAAGCUAGGGGAGCAAACAGGAUUAGAUACCCUGGUAGUCCUAGCCCUAAACGAUGACUGCUUGGUGUGACGGGUACCCAAUCCCGCCGUGCUGUAGCUAACGCGUUAAGCAGUCCGACCUGGGGAGUACGGUCGCAAGGCUG
rnacentral:rRNA from 1 species